rnacentral:rRNA from 1 species
AUAUCAAUAAGCGGAGGAAAAGAAACCAACAGGGAUUGCCCCAGUAACGGCGAGUGAAACGGCAACAUGCAUAUCAAUAAGCGGAGGAAAAGAAACCAACAGGGAUUGCCUCAGUAACGGCGAGUGAAGCGGCAAAAGCUCAAAUUUGAAAUCCCCCCGGGGAGUUGUAAUUUGAAGAUUGCGUCUUGGAGGCGACCGUGUCUAUGUUCCUUGGAACAGGACGUCACAGAGGGUGAGAAUCCCGUKCGGCACGGCCCCCGGCUCCUUAUAAGGCGCUCUCGACGAGUCGAGUUGUUUGGGAAUGCAGCUCAAAGUGGGUGGUAAAUUCCAUCUAAAGCUAAAUACAGGCGAGAGACCGAUAGCGAACAAGUACAGUGAUGGAAAGAUGAAAAGCACUUUGAAAAGAGAGUGAAACAGCACGUGAAAUUGUUGAAAGGGAAGGGCAUGCCGUCAGAUUGUCAGUGUGGGUAAGAAGCGGGGUACAAAGACUGUGGAACGUGGCCCUCGGGUGUYAUAGCCGCAGUUCAUGCCCCGUCUCUUUCCGAGGCCUGCUUUGAGGACACCGACGUAAUGACGGUACGCCGCCCGUCUUGAACCACGGAC